AUCACUCUAGUGCGGCAAUUAAGAAAGUUAGUGAGGAGAGAGAACGCGCGCACAUGGUUUGGCGUGUGAUCACAGGAUGACUUUUAUCCCGCAGAGGAAAAGUUUGAUAGUGAAAGAAAGUGUGUCAGCCCGACCUGGUGCAGAUGCGUGCCUCGCAUUUUGGUUGAGGUAUUUUAAAAAAAAGAAAGAAAGAAAAAGACGUGCAAAGUGUGCGCCAAACCGCCAGUGAUGCUGGGUAAGUCUUUUUCAGUUUAGACUGUCUGAUGAAGAGAAGAUGAAGAGGAGGCUGAAGAGUGACAAAAUGUGAUGUUCCAGGACAUGAAGAGGAAUUAAAGCCAGUGAGCAGUGAAGCUAUUCUGGAGGCCUGAGGACUGAGAAACGGUUUCAUAGCACGACUAUCAGGCUGAUUUCUACCACAUUCAACCAUGCUGACAACCGGAGGGGAAACCACCUGAGCAAAGCUCAUCUGUUGAGAUGUUGCUGAGUCAGUUUGGGGUCAUGACAUCAUCAUCAUGAGAUGGGGAUGGGGGCUGGCGAGCAGUGACCGCAGGCGGCGACAGAAGAGGUGGUGCUCUGUGUUGUGGUUUGCAGCUGCCAGUUCUUGGCAUAAAAAAAAUGACACUGUGGAUUCGCCUUGGGGAGUAAUUUGCUCAAAUGUUGAAAGGAAGAACAAAUUCAAGAGGUUCGAAGGGGCAGUAAGUAAGAAUUUUAUUGUUGCAUCGCACCAAACGGCCGUAAAACACCUGCAGGAGGUUAGUAGUUUUGUUGAUCGUCCAGGUGUUGAGGUUUUUGGCUUUCCGGCUCGUGGGCUGUUUUUGGAGCACAAAUCUCCACACCCAGUGAAGUCAUUGUGAUGCUGUUGAAAUCCUGACUGGUGGUGAACACAGCAAGUAUCACACAAGUAAAUGAUUACUUAAAACCUUUUUUAAAGCUUAUUCAUUGACUCUGAGAUUUAGGCUUGCCUCUGUGUGAACGUCUGGCAUUCCCAUUUGCAUAAAAUAGCUUUUAUGUGCCGUUUUAUAUUAACAUUAAAAUCUGGAGAGAGAAAAAAAAAAAACAUACUGCUACCCUGCAGUUUAAGAAGUUCAUUUAGAGACAUUAAA